GAGCUCAGGCAGAAGGUGGCCUCUGCACACCCACCGUCCAAACCUCCACACCUUCCGUUCCAGACUCACACCUGCCAGUUUAAGGUGGGGCUUCUCCAGGGAGCUCAGCAGAAUGUUCUGUGGCUUCAGGUCCAGGAGAUCAGAUGAUCCGCCAGUACCCGCAAGAUCCAUUUGAAGAUACUCAGGUCCUCGCGGGCCUAACGGGAGUUAGCAGAGGCCAGCGGACGAGGUCACCGGGAAAUCCCAUGCAGGCUGGACAGCAUCUUAUUAGAGAUCGCCCACGUGAAUGGGGUAGGAGAGAGAAGCCCCGUCUAAGACGGGGAUAGGGUAUGUUCAAAGAGGCCCCUCUCCUCGAAGACCAGCAACUGUGAAUGUGGAAGUACCGGAACAAGAAAGUACCAUGGAAGAGGACAAGCAAUCUCAGUCAGGGGCUCACCCCCGGGGUGAGGACUGAGCCUGCCCAGACCGGCCAGGGAGCUGAGUGACCAGACACAGCAUCUUCACCGUCUCUUCUCGCCUCCGACUGGCCUGCCUCAACCCCUAUCUACCCUGUGGGAGACUCCCAACUGUCCAAGUACAACAGACAUCAGCACCA